UUUGCUGUUUUGAAGCUGCACUGAUGGGUUAUGAGAUCCAAAGUUUUAUGAAAGAGAAAGGACUCAAUCCCUUAAAAAAUCCAAUGGUGCCUCUUAUUCAGGCACCAGUAUUUAUGAGUUUUUUCUUUGCCAAACUCUCGUCUCUCAAGGCUUUCCCAUUUUAAUUUAUUUCUUCCGAGCCAUCCCAUUCAUCAUGUUCCCCAUCACGAUGAAUUUCCCAGGAGCUAUUCUGUGCUAUUGGUUGACGACUAAUGUCAUUUCACUUGUUCAAGUCGGUUUCCUUCGCCUUUCCCAAAGUCCGAAGCUAUUUCGAUAUCGAUCCGAUAGUUGUUGUUCAGCCAGUUAAAGGGGCCGGACCCAAAAAAGGAUUCGUUGAGGGAAUGAAAUAAGCUUGGAAUAAUCAGAAAAUCACCGCUGAACUUAACGAUCGCCAGCGUCUUAUUGAUUCAAAUUUCAGACGUGCAGGUACUGGUCCAAUUCAGAAAACUUAUUCCUACAAUCCAACAGCAGCACCGAAAGCACAGGAACUAGUCCAGAAAGGUUUCAAACAAACGAAGAAAUCCGUGUAGUUUGAAUUGUUUGAGCGAAACAAUAUUUAGCUAUUGAACUUGUUUCCUUCCUUGUUUCCACUCUUUGGAAUACAACACAUUCGCAACCCGGUAGCGAAUGAAUGACCAUCAAAU